UACAGGGGGGGCGAAGCGUUGUUCGGAAUUACUGGGCGUAAAGGGGUUGUAGGCGGCCAACUAAGGUCACCCGUGAAAUCCCCAGGCUUAACCUGGGAACUGCGUGUGAUACUGGAUGGCUUGAAUUCGGGAGAGGGAUGCAGAAUUCCAGGUGUAGCGGUGAAAUGCUGUAGAUAUCUGGAGGAAUACCGGUGGCGAAGGCGGCAUCCUGGACCGACAUUGACGCUGAAAACCGAAAGCUAGGGGAGCAAACGGG
rnacentral:rRNA from 1 species